AUGCUCACUUUAACAGCAUGUAUACUAAAAAUUGGAACAAUACAGAGAUAAGCACUGACCCUGCCCAGGCUGACAUGCACAUUUGUGAAAUGUUCCGUAUUUAA
ensembl:snRNA U6 U6 spliceosomal RNA